UAAGACAUUUUAGGUGCAGGCCCUGAAGCC
rnacentral:piRNA from 1 species